rnacentral:rRNA from 1 species
AUUGAACGCUGGCGGCAGGCCUAACACAUGCAAGUCGAGCGAGCGGCGGACGGGUGAGUAAUGUCUGGGAAACUGCCUGAUGGAGGGGGAUAACUACUGGAAACGGUAGCUAAUACCGCAUACCAUCAGAUGAACCCAUAUGGGAUUAGCUUGUAGGUAAGGUAACGGCUUACCUAGGCGACGAUCCCUAGCUGGUCUGAGAGGAUGAUCAGUCACACUGGAACUGAGACACGGUCCAGACUCCUACGGGAGGCAGCAGGGGGGAAUAUUGGACAAUGGGCGAAAGCCUGAUCCAGCCAUGCCGCGUGUGUGAAGAAGGUCUUCGGAUUGUAAAGCACUUUAAGUUGGGAGGCGUUACCAACAGAAUAAGCACCGGCUAACUUCGUGCCAGCCGCCGCGGUAAUAC